rfam:Schistosoma haematobium scaffold1233_8, whole genome shotgun sequence.
AUCCAGCUGAUGAGUUACAAAUAUGACGAAACGCGUGUCCUGGAU